rnacentral:rRNA from 1 species
GGAUUAGAUACCCUGGUAGUCCACGCUGUAAACGAUGAGUGCUAGAUGUCGGGAACUAUGUUCUCGGUUUCGCAGCUAACGCAUUAAGCACUCCGCCUGGGGAGUACGGUCGCAAGAUUAAAACUCAAAGGAAUUGACGGGGGCUCGCACAAGCGGUGGAGCAUGCGCUUUAAUUCGAUGCUACGCGAAAAACCUUACCAACCCUUGACAUGGUGGUCGCGAAUCACAGAGAUGAGAUUCUUCAGUUCGGCUGGACCACACACAGGUGUUGCAUGGCUGUCGUCAGCUCGUGUUG